rnacentral:rRNA from 1 species
CACGUAGGGGACGAGCGUUGUCCGGAUUCAUUGGGCGUAAAGCGCGCGUAGGCGGCUCGGAAAGUCGGGCGUGAAAUGCCGGGGCUCAACCCCGGGACUGCGUCCGAUACUUCCGAGCUGGAGGUAGGUAGGGGAGAUCGGAAUUCCUGGUGUAGCGGUGAAAUGUGUUGAUAUUGGAAGGAACACCGGAGGCGAAAGCGGUGUACUGGGGCUGGUCUGACGCUGAGGCACGAAAGCCAGGGGAGCGAACGGG